rnacentral:rRNA from 1 species
AAGUCCGAACGAUGAAGCCAACUUUGCUGGGUGGGAUUAGUGCGAACGGGUGAGUAACACGUGAGUAACCUGCCCUUGACUCUGGGAUAAGCCUGGGAAACUGGGUCUAAUACCGGAUAGGAACGUCCACCGCAUGGUGGKUGUUGGAAACAUUUAUCGGUCAUGGAUGGACUCGCGGCCUAUCAGCUUGUUGGUGAGGUAAUGGCUCACCAAGGCGACGACGGGUAGCCGGCCUGAGAGGGUGACCGGCCACACUGGGACUGAGACACGGCCCAGACUCCUACGGGAGGCAGCAGUGGGGAAUAUUGCACAAUGGGCGAAAGCCUGAUGCAGCGACGCCGCGUGABGGAUGACGGCCUUCGGGUUGUAAACCUCUUUCAGUAGGGAAGAAGCGAAAGUGACGGUACCUGCAGAAGAAGCACCGGCUAACUACGUGCCAGCAGCCGCGGUAAUACGUAGGGUGCGAGCGUUAUCCGGAAUUAUUGGGCGUAAAGAGCUCGUAGGCGGUUUGUCGCGUCUGUCGUGAAAGUCCGGGGCUUAACCCCGGAUCUGCGGUGGGUACGGGCAGACUAGAGUGCAGUAGGGGAGACUGGAAUUYUUGGUGUAGCGGUGGAAUGCGCAGAUAUCAGGAGGAACACCGAUGGCGAAGGCAGGUCUCUGGGCUGUAACUGACGCUGAGGAGCGAAAGCAUGGGGAGCGRACAGGAUUAGAUACCCUGGUAGUCCAUGCCGUAAACGUUGGGCACUAGGUGUGGGGACCAUUCCACGGUUUCCGCGCCGCAGCUAACGCAUUAAGUGCCCCGCCUGGGGAGUACGGCGCAAGGCUAAAACUCAAAGGAWUUGACGGGGGCCCRCAAGCGCGGRGCAUGCGGAUUAAUUCGAUGCAACGCGAAGAACCUUACCAAGGCUUGACAUGUUCUCGAUCGCCGUAGAGAUACGGUUUCCCCUUUGGGGCGGGAUCACAGGUGGUGCAUGGUUGUCGUCAGCUCGUGUCGUGAGAUGUUGGGUUAAGUCCCGCAACGAGHGCAACCCUCSUUCCAUGUUGCCAGCACGUAAUGGUGGGGACUCAUGGGAGACUGCCGGGGUCAACUCGGAGGAAGGUGGGGACGACGUCAAAUCAUCAUGCCCCUUAUGUCUUGGGCUUCACGCAUGCUACAAUGGCCGGUACAAUGGGUUGCGAUACUGUGAGGUGGAGCUAAUCCCAAAAAGCCGGUCUCAGUUCGGAUUGGGGUCUGCAACUCGACCCCAUGAAGUCGGAGUCGCUAGUAAU